UGGCGAAAGGGAAUCCGGUCAAAAUUCCGGAACCCGGGUAGCGGAACCGCUCACCGUGCCCUCGGUGUCAGGGUAACCUGAAAGGACCCGGAGACGCCGUCGGGAGCCUCGGGAAGAGUUUUCUUUUCUGUUUGAGCGUCCGGAACCCUGGAAUCCUGUCAAAGGGAGAUAGGGUAUUGGACGCGAAGAGCAUCGCAUUUGCUGCGGUGUCCGAGGAGUCCCGACGGACCUUGAAAAUCCGGGAGAGGGCUACGUGGAGGUGUCGCGCCGGUUCGUACUCAUAUCCGCAGCAGGUCU
rnacentral:rRNA from 1 species